rnacentral:lncRNA from 1 species
UAUGCCCAGAAAUACAAAGAUUGAAAGAUAGUUCUGAAAAACUGAAAAAUGUUAUCCACUUGCAGUGGAAAAGGUGAUGGAAUCUAAAUGCAGAGAAAAACAUAUUUAUUUUACUUUAUUUUCCUUUCUUUCUGGUAUGUUUUAUUUCUCAACAUGAUGAAUAAGGAAGGAAAUAUGUUUUACAUGACUGCAUAUGUAUAAUCUUUAUCAAAUUGCUUACCUUUUUAAUGAGGUUGGAGACCAGGGUGACUAGGAAAGAAUUUGGAACUUAAAAUAGAUUUUAUAUGUCCUUAGAAAAAAUUUUAAUUAUUAAAAAUGUCUUAAUGUGCUUAUAUGCUGAAAGGUAGAAAGUUCAGCAAAAUCAUUGGUCUAGGGGAGACUGUAACAGAGUCAGAUAUAUAUAUAUAUAUAUAUAUAUUGCUAAUUAUUAAGGAAAAGAUACCGGUAAAGUAUAAGUGGAUGGCUUAUAAUUCCAGUGCAAAGCUAGAGUGACCAGGCCAACUGUACUGGGAGGAAAUUUUAUUCUUACUGUUGCUUCAGAUGUUUUAGGCUUUCAUUAUUAUUACUAUUAUUAUUUUUGUAUUUAUAGGUGACAACGAACUGGGGCUUUGUACUUGUAUCUUCUUUGAUCCAGCAGAUGAGGAUGGAAAGGAACCAGGGGUUUUUAUAACUGAAAUUAUUGAAGGAGGUGCAGUUCACAAACUUGGAUGUAUCCGUGUAUUUGACCAGAUUAUUAAAAUAGGUGACAUCAAUCUAAUUGGAUUGGAUGAAGCAGAAAUCGUCUCUAUUUUUAAAAAAAUGGACGAUUCUCCUUUCCAGAUUGAAUUUGGCCGCGAACCACCUGAAGUCAAGUCAGAACUUAUAGUACUCCUCAAGUUGUCAGAGGAAAGGAAGAAAUAUUUUAUGAAUUCACUCAUAGUACAGGUAUUAUGUGAACCAAAUAAAAAAAUGCAGAAACUCAAAAUUCUUUCUUUUUUAUCAUAACAAUAUUAAAAGUAAAAUUUUGUUCUUUAAAAAGUUUCCUUUCCUACUCUUGAGUAACUUCAUCUUAAUUUAUUACAUACUUUUUUAUUGUUGCUCUUUUAUGCAAUUUUAUCAAUGUCUCUGAGAUUUACAUUCUAAUCUUCUCUGAUGCACUCCAACCUUCACCACUGAAUUAUCAUUUGUAGUAUAGAGAAUGAAUUAAGCAAAACUGAACAAUAAAUACACAACUGAAUCUGAUAGUUUUUGCUCC